rnacentral:rRNA from 1 species
CUACGGGCUGCUCCAGUAAGGAAUAUUGCGCAAUGGAGGCAACUCUGACGCAGCCAUGCCGCGUGCAGGAAGAAGGCCUUAUGGGUCGUAAACUGCUUUUAUUUAGGAAUAAACCCCCGAACGUGUUCGGGGCUGAAGGUACUAAACGAAUAAGCACCGGCUAACUCCGUGCCAGCAGCCGCGGUAAUACGGAGGGGGCAAGCGUUAUCCGGAUUUAUUGGGUUUAAAGGGUGGGCAGGCGGGCUAUUAAGUCAGUGGUGAAAUCCCGGGGCUCAACUCCGGAACUGCCAUUGAUACUGAUAGUCUUGAGUUUGGUUGAAGUGGGCGGAAUGUAGCAUGUAGCGGUGAAAUGCAUAGAUAUGCUACAGAACACCAAUCGCGAAGGCAGCUCACUAAGCCAAAACUGACGCUCAUGCACGAAAGCGUGGGGAUCAAACAGGAUUAGAUACCCUGGUAGUC